CUUUUUUUUUUUUAAGGGAAUUGAAAGCAGCAAGCGCUGGCAAAAGUCUGCUUUGCGCUCAACAAAGGAUCCCUUCAAUCCUUUUUUUUUUUUUUUCCAUCUCCUAUUGACGCCUCCUUUAUAUUUUGUGUUCUUUGUCUGUUAAUGUUGCUCUUAAGAGCCAGGCCGGGUGACCUGCAAGCCAGCUUUGCUCGAGGAGGCGGCUGUGGUUCGUAUCCAAAAAGACCACGCGUUGCCUGCUUGGUCUUAAGGUGAGCUGCGGCCUUUGCAAACCUGCAGCUACUGGGCUGUUUGCACAGCGGGUUUUACACCUUAAUAACGCUUGCGGCAAAGCUGUGCCGCUGGAGGAUGCCCGCGGAGCAGCGUGAAAGCGAGUUUUUGUGAGAAGUGGUGGAUUUGCGGCUCGGAAGUUCAUCUCUUCUCCCGCUCUGGAAACGAAACGUGUUUUCCGCAGCCAACGCAGAACAAAUCUGGGUUUUUUUUUUUUUUUUUUUCCAACUGGGGCAUCGUUCAUCGACUCUAAAAACGUAAUGGUUUAGACUGCUGAAACUCAGGGUGCGGAUGCAGAGCUGAUCCGAAUCCGUGCUCCCGUCCUUCCUCCCCCCAGCUGCAUGUUCCUAUUUUUUUUUUUUUUCCCCUUAGGGUAAUUUUCAGCCUGAUCCGUUGCCGGCUCAAGAUUCGCGCGCUUUUUGCCAGCGAAAGGGAAGGGGAGGGGAAGCCCUCGCCUCUCAGCGCAGGCUUAGAUUAGCUUAAACCAGCAGCAAAACCUCCCCCUAAAAUCUGCCUAGCCCACGGAAACCCCGUCACGCCGCCCUCCGAAAAAUCCUCCGGCUGCCCCGGCGGGGUGCUCGCGCCCGCGUUCAUCCGGGACGGGAAUUCACCGCUCGCCUUUCGGUUGCGUGGAGACCGCUGGCGUUAGGCUGGACGUCGGCGCUGCUGCAUCCCGGACAGCCGGGGCUUGCAGCCCUCGUUGGGAUUUGGAGGAAAAAUUCCUCCUUUUUUCCGGCGAUGAAGGGCCAGUUUGAUUUCUUCGUGGGCUGCCCGGCGUUUGCUUGACCCGGCUAAGCGAGGCGACGCUGACUGUCAGAUCGCAGGAGCUACAAGCCAGGAAUUUCUGGCCGCAGCCCAGCGCGCUUUCGGAGCGGGCCCAAGGCGUCCCCGGCGUAACCGUGCUGACCUUGUGGACGCGUCUGGAGGGCUUACGCCUAGAUCUGGUUUGACGGUCACCUCGGACGUCUUGCCUUGCUCCUCUGCUCUGUGCCUCAGUUUCUCUGUUUGGAAGAAGAUAUUCGCCUCCUUUGAGAUCUCCUGAUGAAAGCUCUGCGGAGGAGGUUGGCCUCGCUUAUUAGGAGCGUUAAGUGCUUGCUGCUGUUAGGAUAGGGAUUCAUUUGGCUGCCUUGCUUACGUAGGCUUGCCUUUAGCAGGCCGGCUUGUAAUCCAAGCGCUGCAUGGGCAAAGCUGGCGAGCUAACGCUGCUGCGGGACCUGCCGCGCUUCGUUUCCCGGCUUCUGUGACGCGGGAGCGGGCAGCUUUCGCGUAGUCGGGACUGAAGGCUGGGGAGGAGGACGGAUCCCACCGCGCAGAUCCUCUGGCAGAAGCAGCGGCCCUAGAUGCGGCCCUGUUGCCUUCCUUUCUUUUUUUUUUUUCCUUUUCUUUUUGCAAGCUGGCAUAUCGCUAAGCAAAUCUCUUCCAGUCCUCUUGGUCCUUUGCUUUGCCUUCUGCUGGCUGGACAAAUCUUGUUUUC
ensembl:lncRNA